AGUAGGGCAUUCCUUGUAUGUGCUGUCUGAAGUCUCCUCAUUGCUCGAUCCAGACUUUUUAUUUCUCACCAGAAGAAAAUGAUGAAGAAUGUUGAAUGGAACAGUUCCUAUCUUGGUGCUUGACUCUGUUUCAAAUUUAAAGAAAAAAAGCAUUUCAACAGGACAUGGAUACGAGUGCUUCAAGAAUUGAGAUGUGUGCCUGAGGUUUCUUUUAGCCACUAGGUAUGAAACAGCUGAUCAAGGGCCAUGAUAUUCCAGACUACAUGGGAAUAUGGAAGAAGGAUCAAAGCCUCGAGAGAAGCCUCUAUUGCAACUUACACUGAAAGACAAGGCAGAAUGGAGUAAGUGGGCAGGAUGGAUAUUUACAUCAUUUUGGUGAUACUUUCACUGGGAGGAUUUGGGCCUGGAAAACACAGCUUGCUGGGCAGACUGAGGCUGUCAGGACUGGAUUGUUUCUACAUGGUUCCGAGGGAAUUCCUUGCUAUUCCCCCUCUCUGUGGAGGUGGUUGGGCAGCAUCUCCAAAUUACCAAAACUCUCUAAGAUGUCAAAUCUUCUCAGAACACAGAAAAAAAAUGCAAUGAGAACAGGGACACAAGCUAUUUGCAAAGAUGGCUGAGAGGGCACAGCUUGUCCUCUUGCUGAGUGCUUCUCUAAAUCAGUUAAUAAACUGUCA